rnacentral:rRNA from 1 species
AUAAGCACCGGCUAACUACGUGCCAGCAGCCGCGGUAAUACGUAGGGUGCAAGCGUUAUCCGGAAUUAUUGGGCGUAAAGGGCUCGUAGGCGGUUCGUCGCGUCCGGUGUGAAAGUCCAUCGCUUAACGGUGGAUCUGCGCCGGGUACGGGCGGGCUGGAGUGCGGUAGGGGAGACUGGAAUUCCCGGUGUAACGGUGGAAUGUGUAGAUAUCGGGAAGAACACCAAUGGCGAAGGCAGGUCUCUGGGCCGUUACUGACGCUGAGGAGCGAAAGCGUGGGGAGCGAACAGGAUUAGAUACCCUGGUAGUCCACGCCGUAAACGGUGGAUGCUGGAUGUGGGGCCCGUUCCACGGGUUCCGUGUCGGAGCUAACGCGUUAAGCAUCCCGCCUGGGGAGUACGGCCGCAAGGCUAAAACUCAAAGAAAUUGACGGGGGCCCGCACAAGCGGCGGAGCAUGCGGAUUAAUUCGAUGCAACGCGAAGAACCUUACCUGGGCUUGACAUGUUCCCGACAGCCGUAGAGAUACGGUCUCCCUUCGGGGCGGGUUCACAGGUGGUGCAUGGUCGUCGUCAGCUCGUGUCGUGAGAUGUUGGGUUAAGUCCCGCAACGAGCGCAACCCUCGCCCUGUGUUGCCAGCACGUCAUGGUGGGAACUCACGGGGGACCGCCGGGGUCAACUCGGAGGAAGGUGGGGAUGACGUCAGAUCAUCAUGCCCCUUACGUCCAGGGCUUCACGCAUGCUACAAUGGCCGGUACAACGGGAUGCGACAUGGCGACAUGGAGCGGAUCCCUGAAAACCGGUCUCAGUUCGGAUUGGAGUCUGCAACCCGACUCCAUGAAGGCGGAGUCGCUAGUAAUCGCGGAUCAGCAACGCCGCGGUGAAUGCGUUCCCGGGCCUUGUACACACCGCCCGUCAAGUCAUGAAAGUGGGUAGCACCCGAAGCCGGUGGCCUAACCCCUUGUGGGAUGGAGCCGUCUAAGGUGAGACUCGUGAUUGGGACUAAGUCGUAACAAGGUAGCCGUACCGGAAGGUGCGGCUG